GACGAACGCUGGCGGCGUGCUUAACACAUGCAAGUCGAACGGAAAGGCCCUGCUUUUGUGGGGUGGUCGUGUGGCGAACGGGUGAGUAACACGUGUGUAAACUGUCCUUGACUUUGGGGUAACUUCAGGAAACUGGGGCUAUUACAGGAUAGGAUCUCUUGCUGCAUGGUGGGGGAUGGUAAGAUUCGGCGGUUGGGGAUGGACUCGCGGCUUAUCAGCUUGUUGGGGGGGUAGUGGCUUACCAAGGCUUUGACGGGUAGCCGGCCUGAGAGGGUGACCGGCCACAUUAGGACUGAGAUACGGCCCAGACUCCUACGGGAGGCAGCAGUGGAGAAUAUUGCACAAUGGGCGGAAGCCUGAUGCAGCAACGCCGCGUGCGGGAUGACGGCCUUCGGGUUGUAAACCGCUUUCGCCUGUGACGAAGCGUGAGUGACGGUAAUGGGUAAAGAAGCACCGGCUAACUACGUG
rnacentral:rRNA from 1 species